rnacentral:tRNA from 1 species
GGACUCGUAGCUCAAUUGGCAGAGCAAGCGACUCUUAAUCGCUAGGUUGUCGGUUCGAUUCCGACCGGGUCCA